rnacentral:rRNA from 1 species
UACGAAGGGGGCUAGCGUUGUUCGGAAUUACUGGGCGUAAAGGGCGCGUAGGCGGUGUAUCAAGUCAGGCGUGAAAGCCCCGGGCUCAACCUGGGAACCGCGCUUGAGACUGGCACGCUCGAGUUCGGGAGAGGAUGGUGGAAUUCCCAGUGUAGAGGUGAAAUUCGUAGAUAUUGGGAAGAACACCGAUGGCGAAGGCAGCCAUCUGGACCGACACUGACGCUGAGGCGCGAAAGCGUGGGGAGCAAACAGG